rnacentral:rRNA from 1 species
UACGGAGGGUGCAAGCGUUAUCCGGAUUCACUGGGUUUAAAGGGUGCGUAGGUGGGUCUGUAAGUCAGUGGUGAAAUCUCCAAGCUUAACUUGGAAACUGCCGUUGAUACUAUAGAUCUUGAAUGUUGUGGAGGUGAGCGGAAUAUGUCAUGUAGCGGUGAAAUGCUUAGAUAUGACAUAGAACACCAAUUGCGAAGGCAGCUCACUACACAAAUAUUGACACUGAUGCACGAAAGCGUGGGGAUCAAACAGG